rnacentral:rRNA from 1 species
UUAAGUUAUUAAGGGCGCACGGUGGAUGCCUUGGCACUAGAAGCCGAUGAAGGACGUUACUAACGACGAUAUGCUUUGGGGAGCUGUAAGUAAGCUUUGAUCCAGAGAUUUCCGAAUGGGGAAACCCAGCAUGAGUUAUGUCAUGUUAUCGAUAUGUGAAUACAUAGCAUAUCAGAAGGCACACCCGGAGAACUGAAACAUCUUAGUACCCGGAGGAAGAGAAAGAAAAUUCGAUUCCCUUAGUAGCGGCGAGCGAAACGGGAAGAGCCCAAACCAAAAAGCUUGCUUGUUGGGGUUGUAGGACACUCUAUACGGAGUUACAAAGGACGACAUUAGACGAAUCAUCUGGAAAGAUGAAUCAAAGAAGGUAAUAAUCCUGUAGUCGAAAAUGUUGUCUCUCUUGAGUGGAUCCUGAGUACGACGGAGCACGUGAAAUUCCGUCGGAAUCUGGGAGGACCAUCUCCUAAGGCUAAAUACUCUCUAGUGACCGAUAGUGAACCAGUACCGUGAGGGAAAGGUGAAAAGCACCCCGGAAGGGGAGUGAAAUAGAACCUGAAACCGUGUGCUUACAAGUAGUCAGAGCCCGUUAAUGGGUGAUGGCGUGCCUUUUGUAGAAUGAACCGGCGAGUUACGAUUUGAUGCAAGGUUAAGCAGUAAAUGUGGAGCCGUAGCGAAAGCGAGUCUGAAUAGGGCGUUUAGUAUUUGGUCGUAGACCCGAAACCAGGUGAUCUACCCUUGGUCAGGUUGAAGUUCAGGUAACACUGAAUGGAGGACCGAACCGACUUACGUUGAAAAGUGAGCGGAUGAACUGAGGGUAGCGGAGAAAUUCCAAUCGAACCUGGAGAUAGCUGGUUCUCUCCGAAAUAGCUUUAGGGCUAGCCUCAAGUGAUGAUUAUUGGAGGUAGAGCACUGUUUGGACGAGGGGCCCCUCUCGGGUUACCGAAUUCAGACAAACUCCGAAUGCCAAUUAAUUUAACUUGGGAGUCAGAACAUGGGUGAUAAGGUCCGUGUUCGAAAGGGAAACAGCCCAGACCACCAGCUAAGGUCCCAAAAUAUAUGUUAAGUGGAAAAGGAUGUGGCGUUGCCCAGACAACUAGGAUGUUGGCUUAGAAGCAGCCAUCAUUUAAAGAGUGCGUAAUAGCUCACUAGUCGAGUGACACUGCGCCGAAAAUGUACCGGGGCUAAACAUAUUACCGAAGCUGUGGAUUGUCCUUUGGACAAUGGUAGGAGAGCGUUCUAAGGGCGUUGAAGCAUGAUCGUAAGGACAUGUGGAGCGCUUAGAAGUGAGAAUGCCGGUGUGAGUAGCGAAAGACGGGUGAGAAUCCCGUCCACCGAUUGACUAAGGUUUCCAGAGGAAGGCUCGUCCGCUCUGGGUUAGUCGGGUCCUAAGCUGAGGCCGACAGGCGUAGGCGAUGGAUAACAGGUUGAUAUUCCUGUACCACCUAUAAUCGUUUUAAUCGAUGGGGGGACGCAGUAGGAUAGGCGAAGCGUGCGAUUGGAUUGCACGUCUAAGCAGUAAGGCUGAGUAUUAGGCAAAUCCGGUACUCGUUAAGGCUGAGCUGUGAUGGGGAGAAGACAUUGNGUCUUCGAGUCGUUGAUUUCACACUGCCGAGAAAAGCCUCUAGAUAGAAAAUAGGUGCCCGUACCGCAAACCGACACAGGUAGUCAAGAUGAGAAUUCUAAGGUGAGCGAGCGAACUCUCGUUAAGGAACUCGGCAAAAUGACCCCGUAACUUCGGGAGAAGGGGUGCUCUUUAGGGUUAACGCCCAGAAGAGCCGCAGUGAAUAGGCCCAAGCGACUGUUUAUCAAAAACACAGGUCUCUGCUAAACCGUAAGGUGAUGUAUAGGGGCUGACGCCUGCCCGGUGCUGGAAGGUUAAGAGGAGUGGUUAGCUUCUGCGAAGCUACGAAUCGAAGCCCCAGUAAACGGCGGCCGUAACUAUAACGGUCCUAAGGUAGCGAAAUUCCUUGUCGGGUAAGUUCCGACCCGCACGAAAGGCGUAACGAUUUGGGCACUGUCUCAACGAGAGACUCGGUGAAAUCAUAGUACCUGUGAAGAUGCAGGUUACCCGCGACAGGACGGAAAGACCCCGUGGAGCUUUACUGUAGCCUGAUAUUGAAAUUCGGCACAGCUUGUACAGGAUAGGUAGGAGCCUUUGAAACGUGAGCGCUAGCUUACGUGGAGGCGCUGGUGGGAUACUACCCUAGCUGUGUUGGCUUUCUAACCCGCACCACUUAUCGUGGUGGGAGACAGUGUCANGCGGGCAGUUUGACUGGGGCGGUCGCCUCCUAAAAGGUAACGGAGGCGCUCAAAGGUUCCCUCAGAAUGGUUGGAAAUCAUUCAUAGAGUGUAAAGGCAUAAGGGAGCUUGACUGCGAGACCUACAAGUCGAGCAGGGUCGAAAGACGGACUUAGUGAUCCGGUGGUUCCGCAUGGAAGGGCCAUCGCUCAACGGAUAAAAGCUACCCCGGGGAUAACAGGCUUAUCUCCCCCAAGAGUUCACAUCGACGGGGAGGUUUGGCACCUCGAUGUCGGCUCAUCGCAUCCUGGGGCUGUAGUCGGUCCCAAGGGUUGGGCUGUUCGCCCAUUAAAGCGGUACGCGAGCUGGGUUCAGAACGUCGUGAGACAGUUCGGUCCCUAUCCGUCGUGGGCGUAGGAAAUUUGAGAGGAGCUGUCCUUAGUACGAGAGGACCGGGAUGGACAUACCUCUGGUGUACCAGUUGUCGUGCCAACGGCAUAGCUGGGUAGCUAUGUGUGGACGGGAUAAGUGCUGAAAGCAUCUAAGCAUGAAGCCCCCCUCAAGAUGAGAUUUCCCAACUUCGGUUAUAAGAUCCCUCAAAGAUGAUGAGGUUAAUAGGUUCGAGGUGGAAGCAUGGUGACAUGUGGAGCUGACGAAUACUAAUCGAUCGAAGACUUAAUCAA